CUGGGCGUAAGCGUGCGUAGGCGGCUUUUUAAGUCGGAUGUGAAAUCCCUGAGCUUAACUUAGGAAUUGCAUUCGAUACUGGAAAGCUAGAGUAUGGGAGAGGAUGGUAGAAUUCCAGGUGUAGCGGUGAAAUGCGUAGAGAUCUGGAGGAAUACCGAUGGCGAAGGCAGCCAUCUGGCCUAAUACUGACGCUGAGGUACGAAAGCAUGGGGAGCAAACAGGAUUAGAUACCCUGGUAGUCCAUGCCGUAAACGAUGUCUACUAGCCGUUGGGGCCUUUGAGGCUUUAGUGGCGCAGCUAACGCGAUAAGUAGACCGCCUGGGGAGUACGGUCGCAAGACUAAAACUCAAAUGAAUUGACGGGGGCCCGCACAAGCGGUGGAGCAUGUGGUUUAAUUCGAUGCAACGCGAAGAACCUUACCUGGCCUUGACAUACUAAGAACUUUCCAGAGAUGGAUUGGUGCCUUCGGGAACUUAGAUACAGGUGCUGCAUGGCUGUCGUCAGCUCGUGUCGUGAGAUGUUGGGUUAAGUCCCGCAACGAGCGCAACCCUUUUCCUUAUUUGCCAGCGGGUUAUGCCGGGAACUUUAAGGAUACUGCCAGUGACAAACUGGAGGAAGGCGGGGACGACGUCUAGUCAUCAUGGCCCUUACGGCCAGGGCUACACACGUGCUACAAUGGUCGGUACAAAGGGUUGCUACCUCGCGAGAGGAUGCUAAUCUCAAAAAGCCGAUCGUAGUCCGGAUCGCA
rnacentral:rRNA from 1 species